rnacentral:rRNA from 1 species
GACGAACGCUGGCGGCGUGCUUAACACAUGCAAGUCGAACGAUGAACUCCAGCUUGCUGGGGGGAUUAGUGGCGAACGGGUGAGUAACACGUGAGUAACCUGCCCUGGACUCUGGGAUAACCCCGAGAAAUCGGAGCUAAUACCGGAUAGGACCUUUCCCCGCAUGGGGUUUGGUGGAAGGUUUUUCGGUUUGGGAUGGACUCGCGGCCUAUCAGCUUGUUGGUGAGGUAAUGGCUCACCAAGGCGUCGACGGGUAGCCGGCCUGGGAGGGUGACCGGCCACACUGGGACUGAGACACGGCCCAGACUCCUACGGGAGGCAGCAGUGGGGAAUAUUGCACAAUGGGCGCAAGCCUGAUGCAGCAACGCCGCGUGCGGGAUGACGGCCUUCGGGUUGUAAACCGCUUUUAGUAAGGAAGAAGGGGAGCUUGCUCCUUGACGGUACUUGCAGAAAAAGGACCGGCUAACUACGUGCCAGCCGCCGCUGUAACAC